CAUGCCUAAACCGAGAUAAAUAUAGAUCCCUGACACCUGAGCCAGAUGAAAUGAAAAUUAACUUGAAAAAAAUCUUACUCAUUUUGUGCCUCAGGAACUUGUUAAACAAAAUGUUUUAUCAAAGAGGUCAAAGGACAAACCACAAAUUCAGUGAACUCAGGACCACACAUACUUUCUAUGAAUCACAGACUUCCCUGGUGGUGCAGUGGUUAAGAAUCUGCC